UCUUCUCUUCCCUCUCUCUCUCUAUGACAUCUACACACUCUCCUUCUUCCCAACCCGCAUUCAAUUUCUUGACAAAUUACUAACCCUAGCCCUAACCCCUUUCGAUCUGCGAUCUAGGUUUUAACGUGCAAGAGUUGUACUUGAGUUUGAUAGCAGAUAGCGAUCUGCAAAGUUCAAACCCAUUUCCAAUUUCUGUGAAUGCUCUAGAGUCUCUCUCUCUAUCUUAUUCUCUGAAGGAAAAAGACAAUGGAGUCCACCGAGUCCUCCUAGAUACCGUCACCGGAGGCCUCACGGAGACGCUUAUCGCCGUCGCCACCCAAAUCACCUUUGGCAAUUACAUUCGUUUUCGUAUGAGUACAUCUCCCGAUUCUCUCAUAAUUCGCUUCUUUUUCCCCAAUUCUUACAUUUUGCUAACUCUAAGUUUCAUCCUAAUCUGAUCCAAUUUUGCAAGUCUGAGCAAUCAUAUUUCUGUAAGUAUUUGAGUAUCUGAUUGCGGUGUUUGUGGGUGGUUACUUUUGUUGUUUUCUUAAGAAUUUAACGUUGAGAAGCUGCAUGUGGUUAGAGGUUGAGAAGAGAAGAUUAAGCACAGGUUCGAUAAUUUUUUUUUUUUUGUCAAACAGAAAGGCAUGUGAUUUUUGUUGCUCUGUUAACUCUCAUUCGGUAUGUAUAAUUGUGUUUAUUUUAAGUAUUGAUUAGUUUUAAUUUUAAGUAUUCUAAUCAAACUUGUUAACUGCACUUGUGCUUGAACGAGUUGAGGACAUAACAGAACAAAUUCAAUAAUACUUUAACCAAGUACAGAUUAUUUGUACCGGUGUGCCGCAUGGUGAUUGGCGUGAUUAUUGUUGUGCUGCAUGUUUAUUCUUAACUUUUAGUGUAAUGAUCCGUCCUUAAUUACUAUGAUUUUUACAAUUUUAUAAUGUGAAAUUUCAAAAAUACCCUUCGAGGCAAAUGUGUUGACUUUUGUUGACCGCUUUGUCGUAGCACGUAAGAUCUGUUUUCUUGGCGUAUUUUCGUAGUACUCGUUGUUAUAACGAAGGAGUUAUUAACGAACAAAGUCAAGGACAAAAUGGUCAAUUGAUCAUUUUCUGGAAGGCUCCAAAAUUGUUGAAGAAAAUAUGGGAAGCCACGUGUGUGGCUGUGAAUGGAAAGACAAGGAGAGAAAUGAGGGAUUGGGGGCUGCCCAAUUAGAAAUAAAGGAGGAAGUGGGAGGCCAAUUGGAAAGAAGAGUUUCGGGAGAGAUGAAGAGGAGGUUGUGGCGAAUCGGGAGAGGAGAGAGGAAGAGGAGGUUGACCAAUGGGGGAGGAGAGAAGGGAGAAUCAGGAGGGAAAGGAGGGAGGAAAGGAGAGAAAACCAGGGGAUUCGGGUGACCCCUUUUUCCCCCCAUCGCGACCCGGUUGCCUGACGAAAAAUUCCUGCAUUCUUCCAUCGUUUUUACGGCGAAUUUCACCAAACUAUCACCUAGAAACUUUCCAUCGGCCUUCCCUCUCCAUUUUACACCCAAGAUUGUUGGGCUUUUGGCUUGUAUCGGGAAGAACGAAGCCAUGGGUUUCAGGGACACCACUGGCGGCGAUCCGCCCUAUUCUGAAGGCAAUCACGUUGGUCUCCACCACCAUUAGACUCCUCUUGAGCCCGAGAACAAGGUCCAAACAACCUUAGGGGCGACGGAGCACCGGCGAUGGCGAAUCGAAGCCCACCCUUUCUAGGGUUUUCGGCUAGUUUGAGAGAACUUGGGGCUUUUCUCGGCCAAAUUGGACUUGGCCACAUGUAUGAAACUUAGCUCCACUUGUUGAGAUCUUCAUUCCUAUAAAAUUUGAGAAUUUUUGGAAAUAGUUGAAUUUUCUGGCAAGUCAGGACGGCGGCGCGUGGACAAAGACACACUUGACCUUCCUAGGCUAAUAUAGGUGCCCCAAUUCCAUAUUAGACAUCCGAUUGACGAAAUUCCGUUGUUUGGUUAUAUUUCCGUUAAGGGCCGCCACUUGAUUAAUAAAUGAUUCGACGAUCCGACCAUUGGAUCGUCACCAAACUUUAAUACGUAAUAGUACAUAAUAUUUAAGGGCAUUAAGAACUGACGGAUCAGGAAUCUAACGUACGGAUCUUUCCGGAUGGGUUUUCUAAGUUUGUAAAUCUAAAUGUCGGCCAUUACUUAAUUUUAGCGAUUGGUGGAGAUCCGACCGUUGGAUCAUUCUGAAACUUUAGGAUGUUGUUCUAAAAGCUUAUUGAAACUCUUAGGAAGUUACGGAUUGGAAAUCUGAGGUGUGGAUCUUCCAGAUCGAGUUGCGUAGGGUUGUGGACCCUACCGUUGACCUUUGACCGACGGUUGACUUUUGGUCAAUGGGUUACAGAUCAUUCUAGAACGUCCUUGGGGAUGUGUUUUGUGUAAGUUACGUGUUCUAUCGAUAAGAAUUCUGAGAUGUGAUUUGAUAUUUGUUCUAGGUGACAAACGUUCGUGAUGCCUCGAUAUUCAUGUUAGGGAGUUGUAGCACAGACUUCAAGUGAGUGGGUCUUUGCUUUAUAUAUAUAUAUAUAUAUAUAGGUUAGUUUCCAUAAAUACAAGCAUUAAUAAAUUCUUUAUGCGUAUGCCAUGAUUAAAUAAUGUUAUAAGAAAUGUUGUACCGUUGUGAAAUGCUAAAAUAAUACUACGGGAUGUGCAGGUAAGUUUAUUACGUUGACUAGAAUUAUUGAAUUGUUAUGACAUGCUUAUAUUUAUGUAGUCUGCUCAUCAUUGCUGUACCUGAUGUUAGUGCUUGCCCAGGGCCAUGACCGAUUUUUCACAUGUAUGUUUACAUCCGCACCACACACUCGGCUUGGAUCCAAGUAGGUGUCAGUCAUGUUGUAUAGGUUGCAAUAGGCAACUCCGACAUCUUGUCGUACAUGUUGCAAUAGGCAACUUCGACUCGUAUGUGAUCACGAAUAGUGCCAAUUUUCAUGUGAUUGUAGCACUAGAGCGUAUAUUAUGAUUACACUCAGUCCUGUCGUACAUGUUGCAUUAGACAACUUCGACUUGUGUGCUAGCAUAGAUUGAUGAGCAUCAGUCCAGUCGUAUAGGUUGCAUUAGGCAACUCCGACUUGUGUGCUAGCAUAGAUUGAUGAGCACCUGAUUCUAUUAUGUUAUUGUUGAGAUGUUAUGAUUAGAAUAUUUAUGAAUUUAUUGUUGAUUUGCAUUGAUUUCAUACUUAUACGUAUAUGAUUUUCUUGAAACUAUACAUGUUUUACGGUGAGGGGUCUUAACGUUUCGAAAGGUUUUUACUAAAACUUUAUUUUUAGGCUCACUCACCCUUGUUUUUCACCCCUCCAGGUUUUAGUUGCUGAACUUUUGUAUCGACGAGGAUUCUUGCCAAAUCUCAGUAUAGGUGGCUACCUUUGAGGGAAACCCGAAGCCACCUAUGCACAAGAGCGUACAGGAGCGUGCUCGUAUGCAGAAGGAUGGUGGUAGUGUGAGUUCAAAUGGACGACUCCAGGGGUGCCUUGAAGUUUCUAGGGCCUUUGGAGAUUGCCAGUUCAAAAAGCUUUUGAUGCUAAAACCAAAGAUGUACGACAUUGAACACAGAGAAAAUUUCACCAGGGAAGGUGACGAAUUUAUUUACCAUUCCAAAGGGCAAGCCUCAAUCCAAGGCAGAGAGACUGGACCACGCACUAACCUUGGGAACUAGCCAAGGAGUGAGUAGUUUCUAUGACACGUGCGUGCUCAAACUUGAAAAAAUUCGGCUGUAUUGUGCUGUGUAUUCCAUUCAGUUAAUAAAUGGAAUUUGAUAGCUGUAAAUCUUUUGGGAUGCUUCUUGUAUGUAAAUAACACUCCUAAACUUGAUAGUUUAAUGAAAUGCUGGUAUUU